GCUAACGGUGGCUAAUGGUGGCUAACGGUGGCUAACGGUGGCUAAUGGCGGGGGAGACGGACAGUGAGGCGGAGGACAAAGACAGAGAGGAGCACGUCAGAGACACCAGCUAACCCGAGCUUCACAAGACGGACCUACAUACAGGAGGAGGAGGAGGAUGAUGAAGGGAGACCUCGCCAUGAAAGGAGUGCACGCUGCAGACGACUCUGCAUCAGCCUGAGCAUGAAGCAAGACGUCAGUGUACUAACACGCGUUGUGUUCUGUGUCCUGAAAAAGACGAGGACGAAGAGGCCGCGCAUCGUCCGAGGAACUGUGAAAUACACGUGAGUCACUAUUAAUAAUCUCUGUGUCCUCGUAGGUUGAUCAUUAAAAUGAAAUGUGUUAUUUCUAAUAGCUAGGAAAACGUUUAUAUUUUUAUUUCUCAAACAAAUGUUUGAGCCUGAAAACAAGUUUUGAUUUUUGGUUUCAUUCUAUAAUACUUUUAUGUUUUAAAAUCUACGAAGGUUUGAACUUUGAGAGUGUUUAAACUAGUGAGAAAUGUGAGAAAAGUGUCUAAAGUGUGUGGUGACGGGUUUUACAGCCUUAAAACAUAUAGAAGAGUUGUGAAAAAAAAUAAAGCUGACUACCAAGCGGA